UACAGAGGUGGCAAGCGUUGUUCGGAAUUACUGGGCGUAAAGGGCGCGUAGGCGGCCUUGUAAGUCCUGUGUGAAAUCCCCCGGCUCAACUGGGGAACUGCACAGGAGACUGCUUGGCUUGAGUUCGGGAGAGGGAAGCGGAAUUCCGGGUGUAGCGGUGAAAUGCGUAGAUAUCGGGAGGAACACCAGUGGCGAAGGCGGUUUCCUGGCCUGCAACUGACGCUGAGACGCGAAAGCGUGGGGAGCGAACCGG
rnacentral:rRNA from 1 species